rnacentral:rRNA from 1 species
AUGGUGAAAUUCACAGUAGAAGGACUCCGCAUCAUCAUGGACAAGCAAAAUAAUAUUCGCAACAUGUCUGUUAUUGCUCAUGUGGACCAUGGCAAGUCUACGCUUACUGAUUCUCUGGUGGCAGCUGCUGGGAUUAUUGCACAAGAAGUUGCAGGUGACGUCCGCAUGACUGAUACUCGUGCAGAUGAAGCGGAACGUGGUAUCACAAUCAAAUCCACGGGUAUAUCUCUUUUCUAUGAGAUGACUGAUGAAUCACUCAGGGCUUAUAAGGGCGAGAGAGAUGGGAAUGAAUACCUGAUCAACCUUAUAGAUUCGCCUGGGCACGUUGAUUUCUCUUCAGAAGUCACAGCUGCUCUUCGUAUUACUGAUGGUGCUUUGGUGGUGGUUGACUGUAUUGAGGGUGUCUGUGUGCAAACUGAAACUGUGCUUCGCCAAGCCCUUGGUGAGAGGAUUAGGCCUGUCCUUACUGUGAACAAGAUGGACAGAUGCUUCCUUGAGCUUCAGGUUGAUGGCGAGGAAGCUUACCAGACUUUCUCCCGUGUCAUUGAGAACGCCAAUGUCAUUAUGGCGACAUAUGAAGAUGCAAAACUUGGUGAUGUCCAAGUCUACCCAGAGAAGGGAACUGUUGCUUUCUCUGCUGGUUUACAUGGAUGGGCAUUUACUCUCACGAACUUUGCUAAGAUGUAUGCCUCCAAGUUUGGAGUUGAUGAAAGUAAAAUGAUGGAGAGGCUUUGGGGUGAGAACUUCUUUGACACAGCCACGAAAAAGUGGACCAACAAGAACACGGGCUCUCCUACUUGCAAGAGAGGUUUUGUUCAGUUCUGCUAUGAUCCAAUCAAGCAAAUAAUCAACACCUGCAUGAAUGACCAGAAGGAUAAAUUGUGGCCUAUGUUACAGAAGCUUGGUGUGACCAUGAAGGCUGAUGAGAAGGAGCUAAUGGGCAAGCCUUUAAUGAAGCGUGUUAUGCAGACUUGGCUGCCAGCAAGUACAGCUCUACUUGAGAUGAUGAUAUUCCACCUUCCUUCUCCUUCGAAAGCACAGAAGUAUCGUGUAGAGAACUUGUAUGAGGGGCCCCUUGACGAUGUCUAUGCAACUGCUAUAAGAAACUGUGACCCAGAAGGUCCUCUUAUGCUCUAUGUUUCCAAGAUGAUUCCAGCAUCUGAUAAGGGCAGAUUCUUUGCGUUUGGCCGAGUCUUCUCUGGGAGAAUUGCAACUGGCAUGAAGGUCCGGAUCAUGGGCCCAAACUAUGUUCCUGGCCAGAAGAAGGAUCUGUACGUGAAGAGUGUCCAGCGUACAGUUAUUUGGAUGGGGAAGAAGCAAGAGUCUGUUGACGAUGUUCCUUGUGGUAAUACUGUUGCUAUGGUUGGCUUGGACCAGUUCAUCACAAAGAAUGCUACCCUGACAAACGAGAAGGAGGUUGAUGCAUGCCCAAUCAGGGCAAUGAAAUUCUCUGUAUCCCCUGUUGUACGCGUUGCUGUCCAGUGCAAGGUUGCCUCCGAUCUUCCCAAACUUGUGGAAGGCUUGAAGCGCCUGGCGAAGUCUGACCCUAUGGUUGUGUGUUCCAUGGAGGAGUCUGGCGAGCAUAUCAUUGCUGGAGCUGGAGAGCUGCACCUUGAAAUUUGUUUGAAGGAUCUGCAGGAGGAUUUCAUGGGUGGUGCUGAGAUUAUUGUUUCCCCUCCUGUUGUCUCUUUCCGUGAGACCGUGCUUGAGAAGUCCUGCCGCACCGUGAUGAGCAAGUCCCCGAACAAGCACAACCGUCUCUACAUGGAAGCUCGUCCCAUGGAGGAAGGGCUGGCCGAGGCCAUUGACGAUGGCCGCAUCGGCCCACGCGAUGAUCCCAAGGUGCGCUCCAAGGUUCUGUCUGAGGAGUUUGGUUGGGACAAGGAUCUUGCCAAGAAGAUUUGGUGCUUUGGACCCGAGACCACUGGGCCGAAUAUGGUUGUUGAUAUGUGCAAGGGAGUACAGUAUCUGAACGAAAUCAAGGACUCCGUUGUGGCUGGCUUCCAGUGGGCGUCGAAAGAAGGGGCAUUGGCAGAGGAAAACAUGCGUGGUAUUUGCUUUGAGGUCUGCGACGUUGUUCUCCACACGGAUGCUAUUCACAGGGGAGGUGGUCAGGUCAUCCCGACGGCUAGAAGGGUCAUUUAUGCUUCUCAGCUCACAGCUAAGCCAAGGUUACUCGAGCCUGUGUACCUGGUGGAGAUCCAGGCGCCUGAGAAUGCACUUGGUGGCAUCUACGGUGUUCUUAACCAGAAGAGAGGGCACGUGUUUGAGGAGAUGCAGAGGCCUGGUACCCCACUUUACAACAUCAAGGCGUACCUCCCUGUUAUCGAGUCCUUUGGUUUCUCGGGCACACUUAGGGCUGCGACAUCUGGCCAGGCCUUCCCGCAGUGUGUGUUUGAUCACUGGGACAUGAUGUCUGCUGAUCCUUUGGAGGCAGGAUCACAGGCGGCCCAGCUGGUUUUGGAUAUCCGCAAGAGGAAAGGGUUGAAAGAACAGAUGACCCCUCUCUCUGAAUUUGAGGACAAGCUCUAA